GGUUCCCGUAUGAUCACCAAAGUUAAGCAACAUUGAGCCUGGUUAGUAUCUAGAUGGGUGAUCACUUGGGAAUACCAGGUGCUGUAAG